GUAAGUAUGGCUAGCUAGCUAGCUGAACAAUACAUCUAACGUUACAUUUGACAAUAGCAUUUGGAUAAGCUCUUUCAAUGCUGGUAUUUGUCUGGUUGAUAAUGGAAUGUCUAUCUGGAUCUAUGCAGCAAUGGAGAGGUGUGUAGCCAUGUGGGCACGAUUUUGGUUACUGUGGAGCAGUGUGUCCAGGAUGGACUCCAGAGUGGCCCAUCUGCCACCUCAAAACCAAGUGUUUGGUCACGGGUGACUAAGAAGGCUGAUCCACAACCAGUAGCUCAAUGUGAUUUCUUGAAACCUGGCAAGAGGAUGAGGCUACAAGCUCCCCUCUGCCUUCCCCCGCUAAAUCCAGAUGGGUCACCAAAAAAGCUUUUUAAGGCCCUGAAGAUGCUGGUACAUGAAGACGGACACAUUUGGUGGCAAAGUAUUCAGGAAAAUUGAAGCCCCGAUCAGCCAUUACAUGGUCUCCUUGUUCAAGAAGGUCAAUCAAGCCUGAAUUUUUUGUUAUGACUUUGUCGCUAGCACGACCACCCCAGACUCUUGAUAAAAAUGUAAUAGCUCCUGUUGGACUAAUGCCAACAAGGAACUUCACAGUAUUUUGUGACUUGUAGUGGGAGUAGGUGAUUGCUCGUGUAUGCAAACUAGUUGGCCUCUCAAUGA